GAUGAACGCUGGCGGCGUGCCUAAUACAUGCCAGUCGAGCGAACAGACGAGGAGCUUGCUCCUCUGACGUUAGCGGCGGACGGGUGAGUAACACGUGGAUAACCCACCUAUAAGACUGGGAUAACUUCGGGAAACCGGAGCUAAUACCGGAUAAUAUAUUGAACCGCAUGGUUCAAUAGUGAAAGACGGUUUUGCUGUCACUUAUAGAUGGAUCCGCGCCGCAUUAGCUAGUUGGUAAGGUAACGGCUUACCAAGGCAACGAUGCGUAGCCGACCUGAGAGGGUGAUCGGCCACACUGGAACUGAGACACGGUCCAGACUCCUACGGGAGGCAGCAGUAGGGAAUCUUCCGCAAUGGGCGAAAGCUUGACGGAGCAACGCCGCGUGAGUGAUGAAGGUCUUCGGAUCGUAAAACUCUGUUAUUAGGGAAGAACAAAUGUGUAAGUAACUAUGCACGUCUUGACGGUACCUAAUCAGAAAGCCACGGCUAACUACGUG
rnacentral:rRNA from 1 species